rnacentral:lncRNA from 1 species
AGUAUGUCAGUUUUGUUUAUUGCUGCAUGUCUGGAGAAUAGAGUGGUGCUUGGCACUUAGUUGGCCUUCAGGAAAUAUUUGGUGAAUGAAUGAACAAGUGAAUAUCUAAUGAUAAUCUGGUAAGUGGCAGAACCAGGAUAAAAGCAAACCCAGGUUUUCAGCAGCCCACGCUUACAUGUUAUUUCUACUACAUUUCAUAACCUCUUAUAUCAAAGUCAUCAGGUUGUACACACCAUGGCAUCGAAUUCCCCAAUUAUUGCAAAGUCUUUUCUGACUGUAACAAACCCAGGCCUCCAGCUGUGAGAGAAUUGCUACUAGCUUCUAGCUUUUAUGUUGAAGGUACAGUCACAUCAUUUAGGUGAAUUUUAUUCUUGGCAAGCAGGGAACUUUUGACCUCUUUGAAAUCUAUGAGUUUGUAGCCCAGAUUAGACAGUGCUGGAAACACAGCGAAGACACCAGUCUCUCCGUUGACACUUUCAGUGCUGUAAUUCUUGAACACUUAGGAUUGGAGCUGAUCAGUGAUUGGGAAGUAACACCUUGUAAUUCUCUCCCCUUCUUUUAUUUAUUAAGAGGGAUGCUUUAAGACUGUCCGACAUCCGUUGAACAGUUACACCCUUAAUUUAAUAUUUGUCUUGAGACUUCUUGACUCUCAGUUCCUCUCCAUUUGAUCAUCUUUUAAGGACUACUAAGUGUCUUCAUGGAAGAGUAGCUAGCUUCUCCCAAAACAAGCUGUCCAAAUGACAAAGACAGAAAGUGCUAUUUGUUUUAUGGCCUCGGAAGUCACACAGCAUCAUUUCUGCUGUAUUAUAAUGGUAACACAUGCUGCUUUUGAUUUAAUGUUGGAGAGUCUGAAUACUAGGUGAUAUGGUUCAACUCUGAGCCCUCACCCAAAUCUCAUCUCAAAUUGUAAUCUCUAUGUGUCAAGGGAGGGACCUGUAAUCUCUAUGUAUAGAGGCACGGAAGUGAUUGUGUGUCCGGAAUUGGUGGGUUCUUGGUCUCACUGACUUCAAGAAUGAAGCCGCGGACCCUCGCGGUCAGUGUUACAGCUCUUAAGGUGGCGCGUCUGGAAUCUGUUCCUUCUGAUGUUCGGAUGUGUUCAGAGUUUCUUCCUUCUGGUGGGUUCCUCGUCUUGCUGGCUCAGAAGUGAAGCUGCAGACCUUCGCAGUGAGUGUUAACAGCUCUUAAGGCGGCGUGUCUGGAGUUGUUCAUCCCUCCUGGUGGGCUCGUGGUCUCGCUGGCUUCAAGAGUGAAGCUGCAGACCUUGGAGGUGAGUGUUACAGCUCAUAAAAGCAGUGUGGACCCGAACAGUGAGCAGUAGCAAGAUUUAUUGCAAAGAGCGAAAGAACAAACCUUCCACAGCGUGGAAACGGACCCCAGCGGGUUGC